GAUGAACGCUGACAGCAUGCUUAACGCAUGCAAGUCUUUGGCGAAGCUGUGCUUGCACCGCCUAGCCAAGGCGGACGGGUGAGUAACGCGUAAGGAACUUGCCCUGCAGUCAGGGAUAACAGACGGAAACGACUGAUAAGACCUGGUAAAGUCAGACGGACUCAUGUCCAGCCUGAUGAAAAGAGAUGCUGCAGGAGAGCCUUGCGUCCUAUUAGCUUGUUGGUGGGGUAACGGCCCACCAAGGCGAUGAUAGGUAGCCGGCCUGAGAGGGUGGACGGCCACAAGGGGACUGAGAUACGGCCCUUACUCCUACGGGAGGCAGCAGUGGGGAAUAUUGGACAAUGGGGGCAACCCUGAUCCAGCAAUUCUGUGUGCACGAUGAAGGUUUUCGGAUUGUAAAGUGCUUUCAGCAGGGAAGAAAAAAAUGACGGUACCUGCAGAAGAAGCGACGGCUAAAUACGU
rnacentral:rRNA from 1 species